CUGGCGGCGUGCUUAACACAUGCAAGUCGAACGGAAAGGCCCCUUCGGGGGUACUCGAGUGGCGAACGGGUGAGUAACACGUGGGUGAUCUGCCCUGCACUCUGGGAUAAGCCUGGGAAACUGGGUCUAAUACCGGAUACACCCUUCUGGUCGCAUGGCCUGGGAGGGGAAAGCUUUUGCGGUGUGGGAUGGGCCCGCGGCCUAUCAGCUUGUUGGUGGGGUGAUGGCCUACCAAGGCGACGACGGGUAGCCGGCCUGAGAGGGUGUCCGGCCACACUGGGACUGAGAUACGGCCCAGACUCCUACGGGAGGCAGCAGUGGGGAAUAUUGCACAAUGGGCGCAAGCCUGAUGCAGCGACGCCGCGUGGGGGAUGACGGCCUUCGGGUUGUAAACCUCUUUCAGCAUCGACGAAGCGCAAGUGACGGUAGAUGCAGAAG
rnacentral:rRNA from 1 species